rnacentral:rRNA from 1 species
GUAGCGACUGUCUUAAAAGUCAAGCGAUCGUUAACAAAAAAACGUGGGUUGGAGCAUUGACGCAACAGAGGAACGCUGCGCUAGAUUCGGCGGUGUCUGGUACGGGCUAGAAGACUUAUGGCUUGUAGUCUAGAUAGUCAAAGCCCGCACCAGACACUCCGCUUCGCCGCCGAAUCUUCCUCGGUUGCUGGAUUUCUCGUGUAGGCAAAAACAGCAUGAAAAAUUUACCCCAGUUAUAGGGGAGCAUCAAUGCGGAUGCCGUACAUUGCUGGCUCUGGGCAUCAAGCAAAGUAUAAAAAGGUUGACUUGUGAUUAAACAUUGACAAUUGGUUUAAAGUUGUCAGUUAGACACCAAGGCAAAUUAUCUCGAACCAUUGCAUUUAAAAUGACUAACAUCUUAUGAACGCAAGCAGUUAGGGCCAAUUUUUUGGAUUUACCACGUUCGACAAGGCGCUGAUAAAAGGCUUUGAUAACGGGAUUAUGACGCAUAGCAACCACAGCACCCAUAUAAAGAGUCGCUCGAACAUGGGCACGACCACCAUUAAUCAUCCGCUUACCUUUGUGUUGACCACUAUCAUGAUUGAUCGGUGCAACACCAACUAAACGAGAGAUUUGUUUGGCAGUUAAUUGACCGAGUUCUGGUAAGUCAGAAACGAGGGUAGUAGAAAUAACUUGACCAAUACCAGGAGUAGUUUUGAGUAAAUUGACUUUAUCAAUCCAUUGUUGAUUAUUUUGCGUCAAUUCCUGAAUUUGUUGAUUGAGCUGUUUGAGACGCUCUUCAAGAUAUUCAAUAUGAGCCUCAAUAUCUGCUAAUGCUUUACCACGGGCACGCGCCCGACGAUUUUUCUCAGCAGUCUGCAUCUCGACUAACUGUCUUCUGCGACUAAUUAAUUCGCCCAGUUGACGCGCUGUUUCAGAUUCAAUUGCUAACACCUGGGGUUUCAUUGCUUCCCCAAAGUGUGCCAAAAUUUGUGCAUCAAUAGCAUCAGUUUUUGCCAACCGACCUGUGGCUUUCGCAAAAUCUCUUCCAAGGCGUGGAUUAAUUAAUGCUACUGGUAAAAGUGCUGCCUGCAAUUGGAUAAUAAGUUCUGUUUCUAAUCCUCCUGUUGCUUCUAACACAAUCAGAUUUAAAUCAAAUGAUUUGAGUUGUUCUACUAGAUGAGAUAUUUCUACUUCUGUAUUAGCAACUUUCAAUGCUUUACCCAUUGGACGGAUAUAAACAUCGAGAGUUGCUUUACUCACAUCAAUGCCUACCCAUUGAGAAAUAUUUUCCAUAUUUCACUCUCAACUAAUUUCUGUACCCUGUUUUGAAUUCAUCCCCUUGAUUUAACUCAUCCUUGCCCGAUACGGACUGUAUACUUUAAAUAUCAGCGUUUAAAGCUUUGACCCCGGCGA